CCUACGGGAGGCAGCAGUGAGGAAUAUUGGUCAAUGGGCGCGAGCCUGAACCAGCCAAGUCGCGUGAGGGAAGACGGUCCUAUGGAUUGUAAACCUCUUUUGUCGGGGAGCAAACGACGCCACGCGUGGCGUUCCGCGCGUACCCGAAGAACAAGCAUCGGCUAACUCCGUGCCAGCAGCCGCGGUAAUCCGGAGGAUGCGAGCGUUAUCCGGAUUUAUUGGGUUUAAAGGGUGCGCAGGCGGAAGAUCAAGUCAGCGGUAAAAUUGAGAGGCUCAACCUCUUCGAGCCGUUGAAACUGGUUUUCUUGAGUGAGUGAGAAGUAGGCGGAAUGCGUGGUGUAGCGGUGAAAUGCAUAGAUAUCACGCAGAACUCCGAUUGCGAAGGCAGCAUACCGGCGCGCAACUGACGCUCAUGCACGAAAGUGUGGGUAUCGAACAGGAUUAGAUACCCGAGUAGUC
rnacentral:rRNA from 1 species